AUGAUUUGGAAAGCUACGAUCCCCUUGAAAAUAAAGAUUUUUCUAUGGCAAUUGUUUCAAAAUGCUGUGCCUACGCGCGAUAACAUGCGGCGCAGAAAUUGGCCUGGAAACCCUAUGUGUUCCUUCUGCACAAAUGUGGAAACUGCUAAUCACCUCUUUUUUACUUGUCCUCUCGCCCGUACGGUUUGGGGCACACUGGGGUUAACAGCAGGAGUCUCUUGUGCCCCCGGAUCUAUUUGGCAAAGCUUAGCUUGGCUAUAUAAAUUCUUUCCAAACGGAAAAAGAUUUUAUAUGAUGAUUGUUGCAGCCGUGUGCUGGGGGGUGUGGUGUCUUCGUAACAAAACUACUUUUGACAAUUAUAAUGCUCGUACUCCUUUGGAGGCUGUCUUCACCGCCUGUUCUUUUAUGUUAUAUUGGGCAGGGUUGCUGAAGGAUGAUGACAAGACAAGAUUUCAGGCUGGUGUGAAGAGACUUGCUCAGGUGGCGGCUACCCUGGCAGACAGACCAUAUACGCAUGGCAGGCGGCUCUUGGGAGAUGGGGAUGGCAUUCAGAUUGGCUAG
rnacentral:rRNA from 1 species